rnacentral:rRNA from 1 species
AGCGAACGCUGGCGGCAGGCUUAACACAUGCAAGUCGAGCGCCCCGCAAGGGGAGCGGCAGACGGGUGAGUAACACGUGGGAACGUGCCUUUUGGUUCGGAACAACUGAGGGAAACUUCAGCUAAUACCGGAUAAGCCCUUACGGGGAAAGAUUUAUCGCCAAAAGAUCGGCCCGCGUCUGAUUAGCUAGUUGGUGGGGUAAUGGCCCACCAAGGCUACGAUCAGUAGCUGGUCUGAGAGGAUGAUCAGCCACAUUGGGACUGAGACACGGCCCAAACUCCUACGGGAGGCAGCAGUGGGGAAUAUUGGACAAUGGGGGCAACCCUGAUCCAGCCAUGCCGCGUGAGUGAUGAAGG